rnacentral:rRNA from 1 species
UCCCUGCCCUUUGUACACACCGCCCGUCGCUACUACCGAUUGAAUGGCUCAGUGAGGCCUUCGGACUGGCUCGAAGAGGUUGGCAACGACCACUUCGAGCCGGAAAGUUCGUCAAACUCGGUCAUUUAGAGGAAGUAAAAGUCGUAACAAGGUUUCCGUAGGUGAACCUGCGGAAGGAUCAUUACCUAGAGUUGCGGGCUUUGCCUGCCAUCUCUUACCCAUGUCUUUUGAGUACCUUCGUUUCCUCGGCGGGUCCGCCCGCCGAUUGGACAAAACUUAAACCCUUUGUAAUUGAAAUCAGCGUCUGAAAAAACUUAAUAGUUACAACUUUCAACAACGGAUCUCUUGGUUCUGGCAUCGAUGAAGAACGCAGCGAAAUGCGAUAAGUAGUGUGAAUUGCAGAAUUCAGUGAAUCAUCGAAUCUUUGAACGCACAUUGCGCCCCUUGGUAUUCCAUGGGGCAUGCCUGUUCGAGCGUCAUUUGUACCUUCAAGCUUUGCUUGGUGUUGGGUGUUUGUCUCGCCUCUGCGCGCAGACUCGCCUCAAAACGAUUGGCAGCCGGCGUAUUGAUUUCGGAGCGCAGUACAUCUCGCGUCUUUGUAGUACUCAAGCGACGACGUCCAAAAAGUACUUUUUUCACUCUUGACCUCGGAUCAGGUAGGGAUACCCGCUGAACUUAAGCAUAUCAAUAAGCGGAGGAA